UACGUAGGGUGCAAGCGUUGUCCGGAAUUAUUGGGCGUAAAGAGCUUGUAGGCGGUUUGUCGCGUCUGCUGUGAAAUUUCGGGGCUCAACCCCGAACUUGCAGUGGGUACGGGCAGACUAGAGUGUGGUAGGGGAGACUGGAAUUCCUGGUGUAGCGGUGAAAUGCGCAGAUAUCGGGAGGAACACCAGUGGCGAAGGCGACUACCUGGCCCAUUCUUGACGCUGAGGCGCGAAAGCUAGGGGAGCGAACGGG
rnacentral:rRNA from 1 species